ACGAUGACAUAAACCAUUCCUUAUCUUCACUAACUCCAGUUUCAAAGAGAUGAAUACAUUCAUUGUAAAAACAGCAUUACAUAUACAUAAAAGAUAAAUAAACUAUAUAUAAAGCUCAUAAGGAAAGAAUAGCAUAAAAUAUCUAAAUUCUUAAAAAUUAUAAUUACCUUUAUUAGAUGUUAUAUUUUUAUAAACAACUUACAAGAAAUCUUAGACCUUCAUAUUAAAUUCUUGGACUUGCAAGGUCAAGAAAACUUGAACAUUGUUCAUGAAAUUUUAAAAAAUAAAAUAAAAAUAUAAGAAGAAUAAGCUCAGGAGAGAUACCGCCUUAACAUCUACCACACUUUCGUUUCAGUUUGAAUUUUGUGACCUUCUCCCUGAGGGGUCAUGCUCAUGACAAAGAGCACCAAGGUCAUUUCCUGCAACACACAGGACAUGAUGAAAACCCUAAGAAUUCUUGAGCAAGUUGAGCUGAGGAAACGGUUUUCAGAUUUCAGCUCAACUUGAACAGUACGUGGCAAUGAGAUGUGGGAGUGAGAGGAGGUAUAUAUAAUGGAAAACUUACCAGAGUCAGC
rnacentral:lncRNA from 1 species